AGAGUUUGAUCCUGGCUCAGGACGAACGCUGGCGGCGUGCUUAACACAUGCAGGUCGAACGGAAAGGCCCUUCGGGGUACUCGAGUGGCGAACGGGUGAGUAACACGUGGGUGAUCUGCCCUGCACUCUGGGAUAAGCCUGGGAAACUGGGUCUAAUACCGGAUAGGACCGCAUGCUUCAUGGUGUGUGGUGCAAAGCUUUUGCGGUGUGGGAUGAGCCCGCGGCCUAUCAGCUUGUUGGUGGGGUAAUGGCCUACCAAGGCGACGACGGGUAGCCGGCCUGAGAGGGUGACCGGCCACACUGGGACUGAGAUACGGCCCAGACUCCUACGGGAGGCAGCAGUGGGGAAUAUUGCACAAUGGGCGCAAGCCUGAUGCAGCGACGCCGCGUGAGGGAUGACGGCCUUCGGGUUGUAAACCUCUUUCAGUAGGGACGAAGCGAAAGUGACGGUACCUACAGAAGAAGGACCGGCCAACUACGUGCCAGCAGCCGCGGUAAUACGUAGGGUCCGAGCGUUGUCCGGAAUUACUGGGCGUAAAGAGCUCGUAGGCGGUUUGUCGCGUUGUUCGUGAAAACUCACAGCUUAACUGUGGGCGUGCGGGCGAUACGGGCAGACUAGAGUACUGCAGGGGAGACUGGAAUUCCUGGUGUAGCGGUGGAAUGCGCAGAUAUCAGGAGGAACACCGGUGGCGAAGGCGGGUCUCUGGGCAGUAACUGACGCUGAGGAGCGAAAGCGUGGGUAGCGAACAGGAUUAGAUACCCUGGUAGUCCACGCCGUAAACGGUGGGUAAAAGGUGUGGG
rnacentral:rRNA from 1 species